ACACGGGGAGGCAGUGACAAGAAAUAACAACUCUAGGAUUCUUAGAAGUGUAAUGAGGAUAAUUUACAAACCUUACCGAAUGCAAUUGGAGGGCAAGUCUGGUGCCAGCAGCCGCGGUAAUUCCAGCUCCAAUAGCGUAUAUUAAAGUUGUUGCAGUUAAAAAGCUCGUAGUUGAAGUUCUGAUUGCUCAGGUUUCCAGCCUUAGGCGGAGAUACUGACAGUCAUCCGCUUGCAAACAUAUGUUCGAUCUUCACCGGUUGGCUAUGUGAGUAAGCACUUUACCUUGAGAAAAACAGAGUGUUCCAGGCAGGUUUGUCCGGGAUGCAUUAGCAUGGAAUAAUAGAACAUGACUGAAGUCGAUUUAUUGGUUUAAGGCUUUAGUAAUGAUUAAUAGGAACAGUCGGGGGCAUUCGUACUCAGCAGUCAGAGGUGAAAUUCUAAGAUUUGCUGAAGACGAACUAAUGCGAAAGCAUUUGCCAAGGAUGUUUUCAUUAAUCAAGAACGAAAGUUAGGGGG
rnacentral:rRNA from 1 species